ACACGGAAGGGAGGUGGUCCAAGAAGUGAUUUCUCAUUGGACGCGUGAGGUGACUGCGCGCUAGCGCACCUCGACUGCUCGAGGUCGCGCCUCCCGGCGCAAUCCCAAGCAGCUCACCGCAGCCCGCGGGUCGUGCAGGUCGUCCCCUGCACUUGUUGCAUCGGAUCUUCGCGGAUUCGGCGACAGGCCCGCGGGCUGUUCCCU
rnacentral:sRNA from 1 species